AUUGACCAAAGUUAUCUCAUGUGAAAUUCAAAACAAAUACUUCAUAUACUAGUAGAACGCCCGUGCAUUGCUACGGGCCUAGCGGAGGUAAAUGAAUCAACUAACAAAGGCAUCAUUUUCUACCACGGGCUUGAUCUGGUGCCACCUAAAUUGUCCUAAUAUUCUCCUGCUAGUAUAUAAGUUCCAGAACAGAAAAGUGGAAAACAACUAUCCCAACUACAAAUUAAGAGGAUCAAAUAAAAUCAGAAGUUCACUAUUUCAGAUCUUAUUCUAUGUUCAGAUUAAUUUAUAUAUAGAAUCAUAUUUUUGAACACUUAUAUAUAUAAACAUUGAUCAUGUGUCUAAUGCCUAUCCUCACUGCCUGCUACCAUUGCUGAUGUGAGCCCCAUAUAUUCCCCCAUCCUUAGCGAUGAAUGUUGUGUUUCCUAGCCACCUCGAACACUUGCACCACCAAAUCGUUGUCCUCCCCACUUCUCACACGCUUUUUUUAAAAUAUGUACCCAUUUGUUUUUCAAAUCUUGAGAUUUGUACCUGUAGGCAAUGAUGUAAAGCAAUAAUGUUCAUUUAAAGCAUACAAUUUUAGCAAAUUGUAAGCAUAUCAAUGUGAUGUACAAUAGGAAGUCGGUGCUACAAAAUGGAAGGAACUAUAUAGGAAUAAGUAAUCGUAAUUCAUAAGAUCUAUUUCAUCCUCACAUCUCUUCUUAUGGCAUGAUAAACAGCCUGGACCUGAACAACAACCAAAGUAACCUUGUACACAUGGAAGUAAAAUUUCUACAAAUGGGAAUCUAGGUGGUUAAGUAGAAUAUAUUUGAGCAUUACAAAACAGGGUGCUACCUCCUCAUUCGAAACCACAAGAAUCCUCCCCAAAAACAUUCCCCCUAGUAGAUAUUUUCCGACUUGCUUCGCGAUGUACAAACCAAAUUGAGAUGUUAUCUUAAUUAAAACUAACGUUCAUUUAUUUGUAUGGCAAACGAAACAUAUACACAGAACCAAAUACUACAAUAAACAGCUAGCUAUGCUCACAAGCUUGUGACCAUAAAUAUAUAUGGAUUAUUUAUCCAAAAGUCCGUGGUGUUAAGAAAGAUGUUAUAUUGCGCAAAGACAGUUCCCACAUCAAAUCUAUGGCGCAUAUGUUACCACAUAUUGUUGGGGUACACAUUUUAUAUACUGGAAACAAGCCGUAGACAAAAGAAACUCCUUUAUCAUCACUCCAUGAAAUAAAAAAACACAUGACGAGGAGAAUUACCAUCGUAAUAUUAAACCUGAAAACAAACGGUCUUAGUUACAUAGAAGUCAGCAAGAAUUAGAAACAUUGGAGCUAAUUAGUUAACCAAUUAAAUUUUCCCUGAGACACUAAUCAAACCAUAAAACUCUCAAUACAAGUCCACUAAUUACUUAAAUUAGCAUAAGGGUUUUAAAAAAAAAUCUCACCUAUUGACUCCGGCACACGUUCGAAACGUGGAAAGAUCAACAGACUUGUUGGGCAGAUCGAUCUUGCCGCAGUUGGUCCACUAAGAAAAUCAUAAUGCCACACUUGGUGUAAACUGCAGGGGGGAAAGAUAUUUCAGCUAGAACCAAUAUUUUUAACCUGAUGCACUGAUAAGAGAACACGCAGGAAGCCGGUUAAGAAAAACUAAACCACAUGCGUUUUAUACAGACCGUGCACACACUAUUGAUACAGAGCCGACCCAUCCGUCUUGAAUCUUUCUGAAAUUACAAUCCAAUUAAAUAUAUAAAACCCAGUAUGGUACUAAAUAUCCAACUAUCUGGAUUUCUCUACAAACAAUCUCAACUUGGAACCAGUAUAGUCUGAAAACUUUACUGGUAGGAUUGAGAAAACAUAGGUACCUUGAUCACAUGGAUUUUGCUCUGCGGCGUUUGCUGGAAAUCCCUAAUUACCGGCUAGAAAAUUCUCACCCACUCCAAGCCACACAAACUGUUCUUCUCACCCUCAGUCCUUCUUCAGAUGCACACAUUCGUCAUUUGGUUAAAUGAUAGAAAAAAAUUGCAUGAACAAUCAAUGUAUAUACCUGAAUUAAACAGUAGCUACAAUGGUCACGCACUUCAUCUUCUUUUCUAUUCGAGUGGACACCAGAUCAAGCUAGUUGAUGGUGCUCUGAAAGUCAAUGUACAUCUGAUACACCACGUUGAUGAUUUUUUGCUGUUUCAUGGGCCACACUAUUGCUAUCUCAUGCAAAUCUCCCGUAGAUUUCCUCUGAUCCGACCCAAAUCUGAUACACCAUGCAGCCUAACAAAGCAAGAAAAUGCACCAAACUGAAAUCAUGUUUUGCAUAAGCAGAUUAUAAGAUAAUUUUGAAGGGUUCUGUGUAAUAAACAAUUUAAAGCAGCACAUGCAUGUCGGAGGACCAUAUAUUGACGAAUACAAUACAUAACACUGUACUCUGAAAGUCAAUGUCGUUGUACUCACUUAUUUCCUCUUACAGCAAAUACAUAGUGAUGAAUUAAUGUAGGCGAUCUUUACUUUAAUCCAUAUGCUGUGUUAUUAACUACAUGAACAUGAGAAACUGAGACUCAAAUAUUUCUUUUGUGCCAUUGCAAACCUAGUUAGGUCUCUUCUCUCCAAUAAUCAAAAGAGAAUACAUGCAUCUAAAGAAAGCACAUACAUACCUCCAGUUAAGACCAUCUAAACCAUUCGGGCAAAAAUAUGUAUAGUCAUUGAUCAGCUAUACAUGCCUGAUGCAGCCGCAUGGCUUCGUUUCUCGUGUUCUCCUCCACCUGACCAUCGUCGCCACUCCCCACCAUUGCAUGUGCCAAGUUCGUCCUCGUCACACAUGCUUGUAUUAUGUUCGCUGACACAGGAAUAGUGAUCUCCACGCCCGCCCUUACCCACUCGUCGGGCCCCUACUAAACGCAUCUCCGCGUGCGCCCUCGCCACCAAGUGCCUUUCAGCGACACAGAGAGAGACUACGCCAUCGCACGUGCUUAAUCAAGAUCAAAUUGUAAAUUAUGUCGAUGUUCAUUGAUCAAGCCUUACCAUCAGUCCUACAAUUGCAAUCCACGUACAGUGCAGAUCCUACACCGCACACAAUUUCACACACAACCACAAAAUGCAGUCCAAAAAAUAUGGUCAAACCAGACCAAUGAUUCUCACCAAGAUGCGCACAGGCUUGAUUCAGACCGCAUCGGCUCAUGCAUCAACAAGGCGCUGCUCCAUCUCCUAUAGACAUCACAUUAUGAGAUGCUAAGAGUUAGUGAGAGUUUGGGGUAUCAUCGUCACUCAUGUGCUCCACCUACUUGCUCCUCAGAAAAAACAUUGCACACACAGAUUGGAAGAACCAAAUCAAUUUUGGUACUGAUUUGUCCACGUUCGAAGGACUUCUGUCACCAGAUCAUAAUUUUCUUGCUUCACACAUGAGGCUGCACUACAGAAUCUGCAAAGCAACGGAAUCAGUUGGGCAUUUAUUUAUGAUAAUUAACUCGCAAGAUGGAUGGAUGCAGCUGCUCACGUACCUGAUCCUGGUGGCCGGCGGCUUCCGCAGAGCUGCUUUACCUGCGUACAACGGCGACAAAUAGAUGACAUGAAUUUAAUUUACGUUUUGAGGUGCCAUGUGACGUCAACAACGGAGGGGUCAUGGCCGUACCUGUCGUCGAUGACGAAGCGGGGGUCAGGGCCAACGGAGCCCAAGAAGUCGCUGAAGAAGGCCACCGCCAGGUCUUGCCCUAUCAUGGACUGCGUCGCCUCGGAAGCCGGGGACACCAGGUCUUCUUACACGCACACCUCGCUAGGUCCCCUUCGCCACGUUCGGACUCCACAGGUGUCGUUCCAAAUCGAGUACCGAGGAAGAUGGGGAUGGGAGUGGAAGAAGGCCGGCGUGCAGAUUCAUCACCUCCUUGUCG
rnacentral:lncRNA from 1 species